CAACCCUCAAGCCCUCCGGGCUUGGCGUUGGGGACCGGCCCCCGCUCUGGGCGGCCGGCCCCGAAAUCCAGUGGCGGUCCCGCCGCGGCUUCCUCUGCGUAGUAGAAACACCUCGCACUGGGACGCGGCGCGGCCACGCCGUAAAUCAGACGAAUUUUUUUCAAGG
rnacentral:misc_RNA from 1 species